rnacentral:rRNA from 1 species
GACAGCAGUCGCCGCGGUAAUACGAAGGGUGCAAGCGUUAAUCGGAAUUACUGGGCGUAAAGCGUGCGUAGGCGGUUUGUUAAGUCUGUUGUGAAAUCCCCGGGCUCAACCUGGGAAUGGCAAUGGAUACUGGCAAGCUAGAGUGUGUCAGAGGAUGGUGGAAUUCCCGGUGUAGCGGUGAAAUGCGUAGAGAUCGGGAGGAACAUCAGUGGCGAAGGCGGCCAUCUGGGACAACACUGACGCUGAGGCACGAAAGCGUGGGUAGCAAACAGGAUUAGAUACCCGUGUAGUCCCUGUCUCUUAUAA